GUCCAGACUCCUACGGGAGGCAGCAGUGGGGAAUAUUGCACAAUGGGGGGAACCCUGAUGCAGCAACGCCGCGUGGGUGAAGAAGUAUUUCGGUAUGUAAAGCCCUAUCAGCAGGGAAGAAGAUGACGGUACCUGACUAAGAAGCCCCGGCUAAAUACGUGCCAGCAGCCGCGGUAAUACGUAUGGGGCAAGCGUUAUCCGGAUUUACUGGGUGUAAAGGGAGCGCAGGCGGCGCGGCAAGUCAGAUGUGAAAGCCCGGGGCUCAACCCCGGAACUGCUCUGGAAACUGUGCGGCUAGAGUACUGGAGGGGCAGGCGGAAUUCCUAGUGUAGCGGUGAAAUGCGUAGAUAUUAGGAGGAACACCAGUGGCGAAGGCGGCCUGCUGGACAGUAACUGACGUUGAGGCUCGAAAGCGUGGGGAGCAAACAGGAUUAGAUACCCCGGUAG
rnacentral:rRNA from 1 species